CCUACGGGGGGCUGCAGUGGGGAAUAUUGCACAAUGGGGGAAACCCUGAUGCAGCGACGCCGCGUGAGUGAAGAAGGAUUUCGGGAUGGAAAGCUCUAUCAGCAGGGAAGAAAAUGACGGUACCUGACUAAGAAGACACGGCUAACUACGUGCAAGCCGCCGCGGUAAUACGUAGGGGGCAAGCGUUAUCCGGAUUUACAGGGUGUCAAGGGAGCGGAGAGGGCAGCACAAGUCUGGAGUGAAAUGCCGGGGCUUAACCCCGGACCUUCGUUGGAAACUGUGCAGCUAGAGUGCAGGAGAGUUAAGUGGAAUUCCUAGUGUAGCGGUGCAAUGCGUAUAUCUUAGGCGGAACACCAGUGGC
rnacentral:rRNA from 1 species